GCCACGGUGGUGUAGUGGUAGCACAAGAGGCUGUGGACCCCUAAGCCCGAGUUCGAUCCUCGGCUGUGGCC
rnacentral:tRNA from 1 species